UUGACCGAAGAUUUUGAGAAC
rnacentral:piRNA from 1 species